rnacentral:rRNA from 1 species
UCGGGAAUAUUGCCCAAUGGCCGAAAGGCUGAGGCAGCAACGCCGCGUGCGGGAUGACGGCCUUCGGGUUGUAAACCGCUUUUCGGGCGGACGAGGAAGGACGGUACGCCCGGAAUAAGGUGCGGCUAACUACGUGCCAGCAGCCGCGGUAAAACGUAGGCACCAAGCGUUAUCCGGAUUUACUGGGCGUAAAGCGCGGUCAGGCGGCCGACCAAGUCGGGCAUGAAAGCGCACGGCUCAACCGUGCGAGGCUGUCCGAUACUGGCCGGCUUGAGGGCAGGAGAGGGUGGUGGAAUUCCGGGUGUAGUGGUGAAAUGCGUAGAGAUCCGGAGGAACACCAGUGGCGAAGGCGGCAACCUGGCCUGCCCCUGACGCUGCCCCGCGACAGCUCGGGGAGCGAACGGG